rnacentral:sRNA from 1 species
GCAGUCGAGCAUAAUUGUCUCAUUUCCUGUCUAUUACUCGACCAACAUACUCGACCACACUCAGUGUCUGGCAACAGACUGUGCAGUCGAGUAUAGUUAUUUCAUUUCCUGCCUUUUACUCGACCUGUUACUCGACCACAUCCUGCUUCUGGCAUCAACCAGUUGUGGUCAAUGAUUUUAGUAAUUCAG